CUACGUCUGCUGCGCUCGUGUUAUUACCUUUAUAACUUUUUCUGAUUAAGCAUAACUCCGGGAGCUCUAGAUUGCUCUUGAUUAAUUUCAAGAUGCUGCGGGCACCCACCUAUUAUUUUGUAGGAAAGGGUUAUUCAUAAGGUCUAGCGGCGUCGGCGGGCCUGCA
rnacentral:other from 1 species